rnacentral:rRNA from 1 species
UGUACACACCGCCCGUCGCUACUACCGAUUGAAUGGCUUAGUGAGGCCUUCGGAUUGGCUUUUGGGAGCCGGCAACGGCACCUAAUUGCUGAGAAGUUGUACAAACUUGGUCAUUUAGAGGAAGUAAAAGUCGUAACAAGGUUUCCGUAGGUGAACCUGCGGAAGGAUCAUUAAUGAAAUUCAAGGACGCUCUUUUUAGAGGUCCGACCAAUUACAUUUUACCUUUACUCUGUGCACACACUACUCUUUACACCAUUUUUUAACUCUAUAGUUUUAAGAAUGUAAAACAAGUCUCGAAAGAGCAACAUAACAAAACAAAGCUUUCGGCAACGGAUCUCUUGGCUCUCGCAUCGAUGAAGAACGCAGCGAAAUGCGAUACGUAAUGUGAAUUGCAGAAUUCAGUGAAUCAUCGAAUCUUUGAACGCACCUUGCACUCUUUGGUAUUCCGAAGAGUAUGUCUGUUUGAGUGUCAUGAAACUCUCAACCCCCUCAUUUUGUAAUGAAGUGAGUCGUGGGCUUGGAUUAUGGCUGUCUGUCGGCUUCAUUGCCGGCUCAGCUGAAAAUACACGAGUAACCCCAGUUUGAAAAAACUGACGGCUNGACUCGGCGUAAUAAUUAUUAUCGCUGAGGACGUCUAACCUUCAAAUCGUUAGUGGUGCUUCUAAUGCAAAUCAUUUUAAGAUUUAGACCUCAAAUCAGUCAGGAUUACCCGCUGAACUUAAGCAUAUCAAUAAGCGGAGGAAAAGAAACUAACAAGGAUUCCCCUAGUAACGGCGAGUGAAGUGGGAAAAGCUCAACUUUAAAAUCUGGCAGCUUCGCUGUCCGAGUUGUAGUCUCGAGAAGUGUUUUCCGCGCUGGAUCGUGUAUGAGUCUGUUGGAAUACAGCGUCAUAGAGGGUGAGAACCCCGUUCAUGACACGACUACCAGUGCUUUGUGAUACACUUUCGAUGAGUCGAGUUGUUUGGGAAUGCAGCUCAAAAUGGGUGGUAAAUUCCAUCUAAAGCUAAAUAUUGGCGAGAGACCGAUAGCAAACAAGUACCGUGAGGGAAAGAUGAAAAGCACUUUGGAAAGAGAGUUAACAGUACGUGAAAUUGUCGAAAGGGAAACGCUUGAAGUCAGACGUGCGCGGUGCGAUUCAGCCUUGGUUCGCCAGGGUGUACUUCGUACCAUUGCAGGCCAGCAUCGGUUUUGUGAGCCCGAUAAAGGUUAGAGGAAGGUAGCGGUCCAGGCCGUGUUAUAGCCUCUAACUGAAUACGGAUUGUGAGACCGAGGGACGGGCGGUGUGUACA